AUCCAAUGGCCUAUUAAAUUGAGAGGGAUGGAGUAUAUAUUACAUUUAAUAUUAUAAAUUUAUGGGAAACUAAACGAACAAUUCAUAUACUCCGAUCCCUCUUGGUUAGUAGAGAAAAAUGGUGUCGACAAAGUUAACGUUUUGUAUAUUAUAAAUAGGAGGCAUCUUAUAUGUGUAUUUUCACGUACGUUUCCAUGUCAAAUCCUCUGGUGUUCCAUUUGAUGGAGUUGAAUUUACAAGCACAGAAGGUUGAAGGAGAAGGUGGCGGUUACUACGCCCAAAACUCCGGCAGUCGGCGCCGGUAGACUUGUUCUGCACCCACAUGGCUUCGCUUGCAAGAUUGGUUACGUCGUCCAAGGUAACUCUAGAUAUAUAUAUAUAGUUUACACGUUUAUUCAACUUAUGAAACGAGUAAAUUAAAUUGGAAUUUUAAGAAUGAGAUUACAAAUUUACAAUUAUGUAUAUAUAGUAAAAGAUGAUAAGAGAAAUUAGUAAGAUGGUAUUCAUAUGUAAAGAUGAAGAAAUGAGGAGUAAUAUAUAUGAUGAGUUAUGAGUAUAGGUAGUUGCAGAGAAUUAAGGCAGAAGAGAAGGUGAUGAUUCCAAUUGAUGCGACUUGUUCUUCUCCGCCAACUUUAUCAGCAACGCAAUUAUCAUUAAGGUCCGAAAUUGGUGCGAUUCAGAUGGUAGGGUUGAAGGGUACGAUGAGAUUGAGGGAUUGGGAUUCGAAUUCAAUAUGUAUUUGGUUUUUUUAUGUUUGUUGCAGGGAACACAUCGCCAUAUAAAGCAUUGUCUUCAUCACUUUUAGAAGAAUCAAUUAUGCACAAAAUGUAUAAUGUAGACGCG
rnacentral:lncRNA from 1 species